GACGAACCGUGCAACCGUUGUUCGGAAUCACUGGGCUUAAAGGGUGUGUAGGCGGGCUGUUAAGUCAGUGGUGAAAUCUCCGGGCUCAACCCGGAAACUGCCAUUGAUACUAAUGGUCUUGAAUUUUGUUGAGGUAGGCGGAAUAAGUCAUGUAGCGGUGAAAUGCAUAGAUAUGACUUAGAACACCAAUUGCGAAGGCAGCUUGCUAAACAAAUAUUGACGCUGAGGCACGAAAGCGUGGGGAUCAAACAGG
rnacentral:rRNA from 1 species